UCAGCCACAGGGCCUCAAACUCCUCCAUGUCCCCUGGAGGAAGGAGACGCACGCAGGUUGAGUCACACGUCCAGGCGUCUGAACAUUUUAAUGCGAGUACAAACAAAGACGUGUUCAGGUCUCACGGAUGUACAAAUGUCAAGCUGCAUUAUUCUGACUGAUCGUCCCCCUGAGGAUCCUCCUCAUUAAGGGGGGCUUAUGAAAGGAAAUCCCUGCCUUGUUGUGGGUAGAAAAAAGCCACCCACCCGACAGUCCUCGGGGGAGGAAGUGUGUGUGGUCAUGUGACGAGCGCUUCCGCCCUAAAAUAUCUCCCCGUCAGUUCUACAUCUCUGGGGGGAGCGCUGAGGGGGGGGGACACGUCCAGAGAGAUUUGUUUGAUCUGCACCAACGGACUGCUGCUGUGUGUGUCUGUUUGAGACCAGGGGGGGUUUUGGCUGCUUGUGUGUGUUUGUCUCAGAAAGGUGUUCGCCAGCUUUCAGUAGGACUAGAAAACAGAGCGCUGAGCAACAGAUCAUUUAUUGUCCUUAUGAGCGACUAACAAGUUUGGAAUUUGGAACCGACAGGAAAUCAUUUUUAUGUACUACAUUGUGUGUUUUAUACAUGAAAUCAACGUACAAAGAUUCACACUCUUUAACUUUCAUUCUCUCAGCUGUGAAGGUCAAGGCCCCUCUUAAGUCAGUGUAUUAAUUACACAGCUGGAGCCAAAAAGCAAAAGGUGACAUAUACAAGCAGAUUCUGUGUUUUUAGUGGGGUGGAACUAUCUCUCAACCAAAGAGCGCUUCUAUGAAGCUUAUGAAGCUCUAUAGCGCAGGUUGACAGACGCAGCGGGAGAGCACAGCUUCUAGUGAGUCUCUGUGCAAACCUCACUGUGGCGGGAGGAGGAAGUCUCUCCCACGGGGCCGUUUGGGAGGAACACUUUAGCAAAUAGCUCCCCGCAUCACCUCAUGUUUUCCUUCCAGCUGUUUGCGUGAGGAUAGAAGAAUGUGUCCCCUAUGCUAGCUAUGCUAGCUAUGCUAAUUACUGCCUCCAGCUCGGUACUUACGUCGCAGACAUGAUAUGAAGGUGAAUCAUCUGACAAAACGUCCCCCUUAACUUCAGAGCAGGUGUGAACACUGGAAAAGGUUCCCAUCUAGAACCAGUGUCCCGUUCUCAGCAGCGGUCGAACCGGUGAUUUUUUAUAUCAGCCAGCAGAUUUUAGAGACGGCGCCGUUUGGGCCGGACGGACGCCCUCUGAUCCACGCUCUACAUUCUAUGUGGACCAAAACAUUGAAUCCCUAAAACAAUUGAUAAGAACCAGGUCAAUGAGCAAAGUCUACAAAGUAACUGUCCUUAAGAUUCCCUGCUCUCUAACCCGCGCUCCGUUCACGUCCAUCCUCUGUCCCGUCCUGCUGCUCCACCUUCACCGUGUCCACCACCUCCUUCAUGAUCCUGCUCAGAUGAUGGUUCCCGCGCUGAUCCUCUCUCUACGAGUCUGAUCUCUUAACAUUGGAGCAUUAGAUUACAUUAGAGCACCACGGUGAAUGUUCCCUCUGCACUGUCAUCCAUCACGUCGCCUGUUGGAGACAGGAUGUGUGUGUGUGUGUGUGUGUUGGUAUCAACGUGCGAUGUGAUGAUGUGGCAGGUGGUCUCCUGUAGGGGGGCUCUCCAAAGACAACAAAGACAUAUCAGGAAUUGUCUUUUCAUUACUAUUCAUUUAUUGUUUUCUUAAGCAUGUUUUACUUCAUUUUAUUAUUCAUUACUACACAGUUAAGCAUCUUUUGAUACUCAAAUAAUAUUUCAACGACAACAUUAUAGAUCUUUGGUUGUGUGUUUCUAUAAUCACUGCUAGUGUUGUAUUGGUAGCCUGUUAUCACUUCAUUGGAAAUUAUGGGACAAAUUUAGCCUUAGUUUCACUAUAAAUGAAAAGGUGCGUCACACAUCAGCGGGUUCCUGAGGUCCUAUUGGAGACAGAACAAUGUCGAGCUCAGAAGCUUCACGACGUGUUUGCACAAGCUCACUUCCUCAAGUUCAGCUGCAGUGUUCAAUUCACACCCAACAUGUCGGCGCUCUGAAGCCCCAACGCCUCAAUAUCCGUCCAUACUGAUGGUCGAUGUCCCUCCAGUGCGUCCCGCCGUUCAUCUGGGACCAAAACAAGUUCAAGCAGACAAUGGACGUCCUAGCCAACACACACACACACACACAGACACACACACACACACACACACACACACACACACACACACACACUACCUCGCAUGGCUCAAUCCUCUCAUCAUGUCGGAGCAGCUUGAUACAGAGGUCCUCGUGGGUCACCGCGCUGCCAUUCUCCCCCCGACACCCUGCCGCCGUCCUUCGGCCACGACACACAGCAGCAGCCGACCUACCAACCGCUCUCUGGGCGGCGUCUCUCCUGGCAGUGAAGGUAUACGGACGGAUACGGCGCUUCACUAACCAUUUGGGUAAAGACACGUGUGCCUGCUAUGAACACACUCCCAUCACAUCACUUAGCAGCCGCCGCUGUGUCAUGAUCUGACUGGCUUUGGAGGUGUUGCUUCAGGCUGGGAGAGCAGGUUUCCGUGGUUACCUGGGCGGAGUCUGGUGGCUGCCUGCUGUCACAGCUGUCCUGCAUUUACCAUCGUCAGGAACCCCUCUUAAGGAACAGCAGGAGCACCAGUCUUCGCCAGAUCGUUUUGCCUUCCCAGUGCCUGCUUCCCGGAACCUGACGGCUUCCCCUCUCGCCCUCCGCGGCUCGGGGGAACUCCUCCAGCCAGCCGGAUCUUUACCUCUCCCUCAAGCGUGGAUUCUAUCUACCGUACCGCUCCUGCCGCCUGGACCCCUGUGCCUCUCUGCCUCUCCAGCAUCUUCCCCGGCCACGGAUCCCGAACUAAGUCCCUCUGCUGCCAAAAAUAAAAUCUUUUUAUUUCUCUGAAUCCC